rnacentral:lncRNA from 10 species
UAAGUAUUUAUGAACAAAAACGAAGAGAACAGAGAAAGAGGUUCCAGGAAGUCAUUUUAUUUGAGGUCCUCUGUGAGGAUCUUACUGAUGUUUAAGGAGUGAUCUGAAUGAAGUGACAAAGCCAGGCAUGUGAAUAACUAGGGAAAAGUGUUCCUGGCAGAGGGACCAUCAAGAAUAAAGGCCCUGUGGUGGGAUGAACGGAGACUAUACAAAUAAAAUUUUGGCAUAGUUAUGGCACAAAAUGAGCUGUGAUUAAGGCUCUUAUAAUCACUACUAACUAUAACUGUCAUUAAUGACACUGUUAAGAGUCAUAAUAAAGGGGCUGCAAUAUGGCUUGGGCAAGAAUUGACUUCUGACCGUUAUUCUGAAAUCCUGGCAUAGGUUGUAAGAGUUGGUGUCUUUCUCUCUCCCAUUCCCAGGGCCCCCCUGGAGCAAUGCACACCCACCCACCCACCCCUCCAUCUCCAGCACACAAGCGUCCCCCCUACUGCUCAUUACAUUCUGUCCAUGAUGGUUUCUGAUGUCUACUACUCAGGUGAAUUUCAAGGAUUGCAUCCACUUUACCCCCACCCCUUAAAGAGAGCACCCAGGACAAAGCUCUGCAUGAAGUACAGAUUGUGAAUUGGUGUUGACUCUUGGGCUCCUCAACCCACUAUCUCCUUCCCCCAUCCCAUCAGAUAGAGAAUGGCCUGAUUUUGGUCUGGAACAGAAAAAGCAGAAGUGCCCCUGAGGAUCUUGUUCUUAAUAGACUCACAGGCCCCUCCCUGUCCUGGACAAACUCUUGUGGCUCUUAGGGUGGGAUCAGCAUGAGGAAGGAGGCUCCUGCUAUAGUUUCUUGUAGGUUAUUUUGCAACCUAACUUCUUCCCCUCUUGCUUUCUCCACGGACAUCAUCUGCUCCCAGACCAUUUCCCUCCCAUCCCUGACACUUGCUAUCUCUUUGUUGCUUUCCCUACAAGCCGAGUUCUGCCACAGCACAUAUUUCAAUAUCACGAUUUAGGAGGGAGGCAAGUAUAAAGUGUAGAAAUCUGAAUUAUGGAAGAGAUUUCUUUUUUUUUCAUAAAGAAAUGCCACUUUAUUAUUUUCAAGUACAUAGGUAGUACCUCAAACUAAUGUCUUACAAAAGGUCACCAUUAGUAUUACAGAAGGUGAAGUGUUAUUAAGUACAUGAGUGACAUCCGGACCUUGUGGACUAA